rnacentral:sRNA from 1 species
UAGAGGAAGUAAAAGUCGUAACAAGGUUUCCGUAGGUGAACCUGCGGAAGGAUCAUUACCGAGUGAGGGCCCUCUGGGUCCAACCUCCCACCCGUGUUUAUUUUACCUUGUUGCUUCGGCGGGCCCGCCUUAACUGGCCGCCGGGGGGCUCACGCCCCCGGGCCCGCGCCCGCCGAAGACACCCUCGAACUCUGUCUGAAGAUUGUAGUCUGAGUGAAAAUAUAAAUUAUUUAAAACUUUCAACAACGGAUCUCUUGGUUCCGGCAUCGAUGAAGAACGCAGCGAAAUGCGAUACGUAAUGUGAAUUGCAAAUUCAGUGAAUCAUCGAGUCUUUGAACGCACAUUGCGCCCCCUGGUAUUCCGGGGGGCAUGCCUGUCCGAGCGUCAUUGCUGCCCUCAAGCACGGCUUGUGUGUUGGGCCCCGUCCUCCGAUCCCGGGGGACGGGCCCGAAAGGCAGCGGCGGCACCGCGUCCGGUCCUCGAGCGUAUGGGGCUUUGUCACCCGCUCUGUAGGCCCGGCCGGCGCUUGCCGAUCAACCCAAAUUUUUAUCCAGGUGACCUC